rnacentral:rRNA from 1 species
AUUGAACGCUGGCGGCAUGCCUUACACAUGCAAGUCGAACGGUAACAGGUUAAGCUGACGAGUGGCGCACGGGUGAGUCAUGUAUCGGAACGUUCCCAGUCGUGUGGGAUAACUGCUCGAAAGAGCAGCUAAUACCUCAUCCGACCUGAGGUUGCAAGCGGGGGCUCGCAAGUCCUCGCUCCAUUGGAGCGUCCGAUAUCAGAUUAGGUAGUUGGUGAGGUAAAGGCUCACCAAGCCGACGAUCUGUAGCUGGUCUGAGAGGACGACCAGCCACACUGGGACUGAGACACGGCCCAGACUCCUAAGGGAGGCAGCAGUGGGGAAGUGUGGACAAUGGGCGCAAGCCUGAUCCAGCAAUGCCGCGUGAGGGAAGAAGGCCUGCGGGUUGUAAACCGCUUUUGUCAGGGAAGAAAAGGUUCUGGCUAAUACCUGGGACUCAUGACGGUACCUGAAGAAUAAGCACCGGCUAACUACGUG